AAUCAACGCUGGCGGCGUGCCUAACACAUGCAAGUCGCACGAGAAAGGGUAGCAAUACCUGAGUAAAGUGGCGCACGGGUGAGUAACACGUGACUAAUCUACCCUCGAGUGGGGAAUAACUGAGAGAAAUCUUGGCUAAUACCGCAUAACACUUACGAGUCAAAGCAGCAAUGCGCUUGGGGAGGAGGUCGCGGCAGAUUAGCUAGUUGGCGGGGUAAUGGCCCACCAAGGCGAUGAUCUGUAUCCGGCCUGAGAGGGCGCACGGACACACUGGAACUGAAACACGGUCCAGACUCCUACGGGAGGGCAGCAGUGGGGAAUUUUGUCGCAAUGGGGGAAACCCGUAGACGCAGCAACGCCGCGUGGAGGAUGAAAUCCCUUGGGAUGUAAACUCCUUUCGANAGGGAAGAUAAUGACGGUACCUAUAGAAGAAGCCCC
rnacentral:rRNA from 1 species